CUCAGUGCUGUGGGAUUUUAGAGCACGUUUGUCACUGACCAGGCUUUUUGAGAUCGUUAUCAUUUCUCUGAAGAGAAUACUCUUUGGUGGAACAUUUCUUGCAAUGGAAUAUAUUUACCAUGCAAGUAUAACAAGGUGAUAUAAGUUCCACCAGGAGCUUUCUGUCUGCCAAAGAGGGUUAAUUACUACUUUGUGAAACUUGGUACUGAGUCUCGGAGUUCUAGUAAUAUGAACCAAGGUUUGGGAACCUCAAUAACCAGAUGAAUUAGACAAGUCAUCAAGAGUUAAAACAAAUUUAUGGAAACUACCAAGAACAGUGGGAUAUUUUGUAUAUAUGGUGGUUUUGUUUGAAGGGCAAAAAAUAAUGAGUAAGAUGACUUCAUUUAGAACACCAGAUAUAAUUAAAAACAAGAAAAUUAAAUAUCCUCAUACCACCUGCUGAGUGUAAGAAUUUGUUAAGUAUCAGUAAAAGAAGUUACUUGGAUUUGAGACCUAUGGAAUAAUCUUGUGAGGCUCAUUAAAUAAGUGAGGUGAGGCAAAGUUUGGCAGAGUGUUACAAAGAAUGUCUUCUUUGAAUCAUGAUAACAGGUGAUGGAAAUUUUCACUACUGAUUUCCAUGAUUCCUAAGUGAAAUGGAAAUAGAAUUCUGUUUUAUUUUCAACUGAGAGAGAUUAUUGAAAAUAUCAUGUUUAUUUCUUUCAUAAAAAUAUCCAAUGUUUCAUGCAGCACAUCACCAUUGAAGAAAUUGGA